rnacentral:rRNA from 1 species
UACGGAGGAUGCAAGCGUUAUCCGGAAUGAUUGGGCGUAAAGCGUCCGCAGGUGGCUAUGUAAGUCUGCUGUUAAAGAGUGAGGCUCAACCUCAUAAGAGCAGUGGAAACUACAUGGCUAGAGUGCGUUCGGGGCAGAGGGAAUUCCUGGUGUAGCGGUGAAAUGCGUAGAGAUCAGGAAGAACACCGGUGGCGAAGGCGGCUCUCUGGGACGGUACUGACGCUGAGACGCGAAAGCGUGGGGAGCGAACAGG